GUGUGUGUGUGUGUGCACGUGAGCGUGUGCAAGUGUGUGUGUGUGUGUGUGUGUGUGCGCGUGCAUGCGUAUGAGUGUGUGCGUGUGUGUGUAUGUGCGUGUGUGUGUAAAUAUUCCUUUUGAAGCGCAUAACGGCAAAAUGUCGCUCCAGAAAGCUGUAAUCGAAUGAUAUAUUUUUAAAAUUGUGCUGCAAAUUGGCAUGUCAGGAUAUGAUGUGGGAGAUGAGACGCUGUAAAGGGUUAAGGGCAUAGACAUAUAUUACUAUGGUUAAGGAUCUCUUGACAGGAAAUUGAGCGUCUUCUUCUUGUCACCUAUUAUCAGUGCAGAGGAUCUGCAUGAGGAAGUGCUGCUCUUCAGUCCCCUCCAGAGGCACACACACACACACACACACACACACACACACACUCUGGAGAGGUGCUUUGUGUUUAUUCCCUGCUUUCGGAUCCUCAGGAGAGCUGUGUGUUUUUAAUUAUCCCUCAAAGCAAUCUCUCUAUCUCUCCUUCUCUCUUUUUCUCCCAACUUCUCCCUCUAUCUCUUUCUCUCUCCCACCCUCUAUCACUCCUUCUCUCUUUUUCUCCCACCUUCUAUAUCUCUCUUUCUCUCCAAACCCUCUCUCUCCCCUGCUCUGUAGGCUUUUCAUCACCAUUUUAAUCUUUUUCUCUCUUUCUCUCUCCAUCUCUCUUUCCACCUCUCUCUCCAUCUCUCUGCCUCUGUUUCAUUUUGAAUGCAUGAGGGAUGGGAACAGCGACUGAAUUUGCUCCAUGUGUGUGUGGGGACCCAAUGGUAGUGUGUGUGUGGUGACCCAGGGGUAGUGUGUGUGUGGUUUGUGGUGACCCAGGGGUAGUGUGUGUGUGUGUGGUGACUGGUGACCCAAUGGUAGUGUGUGUGUGGUGACCCAGAGGUAGUGUGUGUGUGUGUGUGUGUGGUGACCCAGGGUUACACGUAAUGUUAUGCAGGACUGUUUGAGUCAUAUCAACACCAGUGUCCUCAACAGGACCCGUAUUAAAACGCCUCCAUGGUUUCUUUUCAUGUUCUAGCUCAGACCACACCCGCCUCUUAAGUAGUGUCUAUCUUAUUUGGGUUUUCUUGGAACAUUCUAGAACAACCUCGACCAACCGUUUCCCCUGUCCGCGUUAUCUGCGUUCUCCCGUGGCUGUGUGCCUGGCUGUGCCCUGGUGACGAGAGAUGGCGUGGGUCUCUGUGUGCCUGGCUGUGCCCUGGCUGUGCCCUGGUGACCAGAGAUGGCGUGGGUCUCUGUGUGCCUGGCUGUGCCCUGGCGACGAGAGAUGGCGUGGGUCUCUGUGUGCCUGGCUGUGCCCUGACGACGAGAGAUGGCGUGGGUCUCUGUGUGCCUGGCUGCGCCCUGGCGACCAGAGAUGGCGUGGGUCUCUGUGUGCCUGGCUGUGCCCUGGCUGUGCCCUGACGACGAGAGAUGGCGUGGGUCUCUGUGUGCCUGGCUGUGCCCUGACGACCAGAGAUGGCGUGGGUCUCUGUGUGCCUGGCUGCGCCCUGGCGACGAGAGAUGGCGUGGGUCUCUGUGUGUCUCGCUCCCUCUCCCGGAGCUUGUGCUCACUCGCACGGCUCACAGUAAAGAAGAUAAAUCAUUUCUCCUCCCUGGCUCAUGGCUCAUGACUCAUUCACGAGCGCGGAGCAUUAGGAUGCAGCACGGCGCUGCGGAGCGGGAGGACCAACCGGCAGACUCCAUUUGCCUCUGAGUCUGAGUCUCCACACGGCCUCCAUCUCAGGGACAGGACGGGAUACCCAUGUUCCUCUGAUCCUGAAUCAUGACCCUGGUUCCCUUGGCGAUGGAGAGGUGAUGGCGGGGCAGGACUCAUGACCCUGGUUCCCUUGGCGAUGGCGGGGCAUGACUCAUGACCCUGGUUCCCUUGGCGAUGGAAGGGUGGCGAUGGCAGGGCAGGACUCAUGACCCUGGUUCCCUUGGCGAUGGCGGGGCAGGACUCAUGACCCUGGUUCCCUUGGCGAUGGAGGGGGGGGGGCGAUGGCAGGGCAGGACUCAUGACCCUGGUUCCCUUGGCG
ensembl:lncRNA